ensembl:lncRNA
GGGAGGAGCUGUCACAGCGAUUGGUAUCCUGAGGGAAGCAAAGAAAGAAUUGUUCAAUUACUUUACGAGUUGACCUCAGUUUGGUGAACGUCUGGUCACAAACUCAAUUGGCCGCCUUCUACCACCAAACUGGAUCGGAUUAAAGCCUUAACCUGAGAGUGGAGUGGAGCCAAGAUGUGUGUGUCGACAGUUGAGCCUCACUCCAACUGUCGUCUUCAUCCUCUCACUAAACAGUAGUCGCCAAAGAAACGCGCCCUGGCUUGUGUGGGUCAACAGCUUGAAACGGGUCAAGCUUCUCGCUGCAAUAUACUGCACCUGCUUCCACUGUCGCCAUCAAAGUCCGCCGACGCGCGUUCAGCUCAUAUCGAUGCGUACGUGUCACGAAUUCUC